UGAUAGUACAGGUAAUCAUACUUCCAAGAAAAUCCGCUAAGCUUAAUGUUUGAGCAACCCGUACCGUAAUCGGACACACGUAGUCGGGUAGAACAUACUAAGGCGUUGAGAGAUUCAUGGUUAAGGAACUAGGCAAAUUGACCCCGUAACUUCGGAAUAAGGGGUCCUCAUUUAUAAUGAGGCGCAGAGAAUAGGUCCAGGCAACUGUUUAACAAAAACACAGGGCUGUGCUAACUCGAAAGAUGAUGUAUACAGCCUGACACCUGCCCGGUGCUGGAAGGUUAAGAGGAGAGCUUAGAUGUAUGUCGACGGUUUGAAUUGAAGCCCCAGUAAACGGCGGCCGUAACUAUAACGGUCCUAAGGUAGCGAAAUUCCUUGUCGGGUAAGUUCCGACCUGCACGAAUGGUGUAAUGAUCCGGACGCUGUCUCAACCAUGAUCUCAGUGAAAUUGUAGUAUCGGUGAAGAUGCCGAUUACCCGCGAUGGGACGAAAAGACCCCGUGAACCUUUACUACAGCUUAGCAUUGACCUUGGUCAUCCGAUGUGUAGGAUAGGCCGGAGGCUUCGAAGCGGGUGCGCCAGCAUUCGUGGAGCCAUCCUUGAAAUACGGCCCUUUGGCUGUCUGAGGUCUAACGCGCCUGAGGUGCGGACACUGCUUGGUGGGUAGUUUGACUGGGGUGGUC
rnacentral:rRNA from 1 species